GACGAACGCUGGCGGCGUGCUUAACACAUGCAAGUCGAACGGAAAGGCCCCUUUGGGUGUACUCGAGUGGCGAACGGGCGGGUAACACGUGAGUAACCUGCCCUCGACUUCGGGAUAACUUCAGGAAACUGGGGCUAAUACCGGAUAGGAAACCUCGCUGCAUGGCGGGGGUUGGAAAGCUUCGGCGGUCUUGGAUGGACUCGCGGCGUAUCGGCUUGUUGGUGGGGUAGUGGCUUACCAAGGCGUUGGCGGGUAGCCGGCCUGAGGGGGCGAGCGGCCACCUUGGGACUGAGGUACGGCCCAGACGCCUACGGGAGGCAGCAGGGGGGAAUCUUGAAGAAUGGGCGGCGGCCUGAUGCAGAAGGGCCGCGGGCGGGAUGACGGCCUUCGGGUUGAAAACCGCUUUCAGCAUAGGCGAAGCUUGUGGUGACGGUACCUGCAGAAGAAGCACCGGCUAACUCCGUG
rnacentral:rRNA from 1 species